rnacentral:tRNA from 3 species
CGGGGCAUAGCGCAGCCUGGUAGCGCACCUGCUUUGGGAGCAGGGGGUCGGGGGUUCGAAUCCCUCUGCCCCGACCA